UUUUAUGUAACCAUUUAAAAUAAAUUUAGAAAGGAGUGCUGUCUUAUUUUAAUUUUGAGAAAGAUCUUAAAAAGACAGUGGCCUGUGUGCUUUAAAAAGUCAUUUUAAAGUGAUGGGAAUGGGCCUGUACUAAAACUUUAAUUUGGGGGAGUUACAUGGCUGGCUUCCUGGCAAAGAAACAGUCUAAGCUUGCCGGUAGUUCUGUGAAGACAGAUUCCUGUCCUUGAAGUCGGCAUCAGCUUCAAGCCCAGCAUGGUGCUGGUGGCUGCUCAACAGAUAGAGUAAGUGGCGUGUAUUAGGUGCUCAGUUACUGUUUCCUACAUGAACUGAAGUUGAAACGUGUUUCAGAGAAUGAGCAAUCCGGCUGCUGUUAAGGUUUGUGUAGAGAGAGGUAAAAGGGAAGAGUGAAGUUGGCUGAAGCAUGUGGAAGGCUAGGGAAUUUGAGCUCUAGUCUCUAGUCAGUGAGGGAGGUUUUGCAGCAAGGCACUGAUGUGAUUAAGUUGGAGGGCUUUUUUUUUGUUUGUUUGUUUAUUUAUUUAUUUUUUGUAGUACAAGGGAUUUUACCCAGAUCUUGAGUACUUUAGACAAGCAUUCUUACCAUUUGAGGUAUCACACCCCCAAGCCAAGUUGGAGGUUUUUUUUGUUGUUGUUGCUGUUGUUUGAGACAUUGUCUUCUAUGUAGCCCAGGCUGGCCUAGAACUUGAGAGCUUUUUGCCUCAGCCUCCAAGUUGGAGAUUUUAGUCAUUUGUUGGGUUCUGGUAAGUAGGCUAUAUUGGAAGGGAAGGUUAAAGGCAAGGACAUAACAAUUCUUUUUUUUUUUUUCCCCCUAAUUUCAGUAGUUUGCAUCUGAUUUCUUUACAUUAUUCUACAUGAUGGCAAAGGAAACCUCCAAACCAGUUAGUACUAAUUAGUUGUCAUGAAUCUAUAUAGUGAAAGAAUACAUCAAAGACGUAAGAUGAAAUGUUACCAUAGCCAUCAAUAUUAGUAACUAUAAGCUUUCUCUAAAGAAAUAUAGAGCAGUUGAUAUUCUAUAAAAUAUCUUCAAGCAACUUUGAGACUUCCAUAUGCUAGUCCUAUGCUUAAUUAAAUAAGGUUGGUGGCAGUAUUUUAAAUAUUGAGGACACCAGAAUUCUGUCCUAAGAUGGACUACUUCCCACUGCCAUUGGCUGUCUUUAUUCUUAAAGUUGCCACAGAACGCCAGGAAGAUUUAGGGGCCCAGGGAAAGCUGGGGUCUAACAUUCAAUCUACCUGCAGUUUAGAGUCCUUGCUCCACUUGAUGCCAGUUGUGAGUUAACUUCCUUCAGUGUACAAUGGGGAUAAGAAAUAGCUACCACAUGAGAUUGCUUUGGGAUCAAAUGAAAUAGUAAGAUACAAAGCAAAUACCUUGUGCUUGUUACAGAGUAAAUCCUCAGUAAAUAUUGGUUAGUAACAUCAUUAGUAUUAUUAGUAACCAAUACUAAUUUUGGUUAGUAACAUUUAUAAAGACCAGGACUUUACAGGAUCAACAAACAGUUUAUAAGUCUCUAAGUGCAAUUCUGAAAGAGGCUAGCUUCCUAGAGGUGGCUUCUCUGCAGAAGUCCCAUAUUAAAGAACAUCUUCCUUGUUUGUCUUCAGUGGUGCCACCUGGGGGUGGACAUGCUUGUUUGGGUGCACAAACAAGUCAGUGUCAGUGUGCCCCUUUCCUUGGAGAGCCUCACAGGUCUGCAGUUUGAAAGCAAUUUUCCUAAACCAGAGAAAGGCAUGGCUGAAUUACCAGAUGUAAAAGAUUUCAUUUAGCUAAGCCUACUACACUCAAGGGCCUUCUGAUUUUACACAUUCUCCUGAGUAACAAGAUAGAAUAAUGUCACAUAUUGCCCCUCUCCUGUACCCUUUAAAAACUUGGGAGUGUAGAUGCUGACCUGAGGACCUUGCUAAUACUUAGAAAGAAUGCUGUUAGAAAGAAACUGGUGAAGACCAUUGGAGGAAUUAUUUAGGCGCUCCUGUUAGGGAGACUUGAAGUACUAAGCAAGGCUAGAAACUGGGAUUGAUUACAGGUGAGGCUGUGGCGUCUUGCUGGAGGUCAUUAUACUAAAGAUGAAACCUGCUUAUCCCGGGAGUCCUCUGUGUAGUGGAAAAACACCUAGCAGAAAUCUAGAGACUGUUCUUAGUAUUAGACUGUGUGACCUUGGGUGAGUUGUACACAUUUUCUGGGCUUUACGUUCCAUCCUCAUCUCUGGCAUUUAUUUAUUGACUCUGUUUCAGUGUUUCUCGUUUGCAGAGUGUCACUAAAAUGGAAUAAUUACAGUUUUUUUUUCCUAAUUUUGAGGCUUUUCAAUUGAAUGGAUAAGCUUUUCUCAGUUUUUCUUACAUAAAACUAUCUUAAACUUUUCUGCCACUCUUGUCUUUUUAACAUACCAAAUGUUCAUUGAGUAUGUGCUCUUUUUACUUUCACUGACAUGGUAGGUGAAAUUUUACAUUCUUUUCAGAUGUCAUACAUGUGCACAUCUCUGCUAGUAAAACCUAUCCCUGUUUGUGGUGGACAGUCCACAUCCUGCAUCCCCAUUUCAUGGUAUUUUGAGUGUCCCCUAGUGGCACUGCAAUUCAAAGGAUCUAAGUGACCCUUGGAUUGCUCCACUGCAGGCCUGCUAAAGUCAGGCAGGGUAGGCCCACUGUGCCCGGGCAGUGUGGCAUAGAAGUGCCAUACUAUUUCUUUUGGGUGAUUAAAAUAGAAGGUUUUUGAUAUAGUCAAAAUCAUAAGGCAUAGAUCCCUCGGGGGCCUCAGGACAUCUUCCUUGGCUCUCCUUAACCAAGGCUCAGAGUUAUUCAACAUCAGGAGCUAGCAGGAGGCUUAGCAGGGCUGAGUGAGCAGGGCUCCAGGCUGGCAUGCUUUCACUGCUGCUUACCACCACUGAUCUUGAGAUGUCAUUCAGGUUUUUCCAUUUUUCUUGUGUACAGAGGGGAGCAGCAGUAACCCACCUGUUACUUAUGAGGAACUUUCUGCAAAUAUAUGACAUCAUGGAAAUCUACCUGGCUUGCUCUGGAAGUAGUUCAGUGACAACAUGUAAAAAUCAGUCUGGACUAACAAAUAUUCAGGCAACUUCUGACCUAUACACAUCUGCAUCAGAAUUUCUUGGGUGAGUGGGCAUUCUGACUUCUGAAUCAGAAUUUGCAGGGAUAGGACUGGAGAACUUGCAGUUUUAAUAAUUGCCUAGAUGAUUUGCCUUGAAGUUUGAGAAUCAUUGACUGCCUUAGUUCAUAGAGACUUUACAACAAAUCGCAUUUCGCUAAUGAGGGCAUAUGCUCAAAGAAGGUAAGUAAAUUCUAUGACAUCCAUUGUGUAUCCUCACCUAUAGUCAUCUAUAUUUGCUGUGUGCCUGCAGACAAGUUACGUAUGAAGUCUAAAUUGAAAAUUAUCAUUGUAAACAGUUAUGUUUUGGAUAAGAGUGUCCCUCAAAGGGACUUAUGCAUUGAAGGUUUGGUACCUGAUGCAAGCAGUGUUCAGAGGUCGGGCUUUUGGGAAGUGACUAAAUCAUGAGGGCUUUGCUGUCAUUAGUGGACUAGUCCAUCAACGGAUUCACAAUUUGAAUAGACUGUUGGGAGAUGGUGGAACUGUGGAAGGUGGGUCUUGGUUGGAGGGAGUGGGUCACUGGGGCAUGUUUUUGAAGGAUGUCUUGCCCUACCCUCUUUCUUUUUCUCUCUCUCUCUCUCUGCUUCCUGUCCACCAUGAGAUGAGUUGCUUUCUCUAUCAUACGCUUUCUGCCCUGAUGUCCAGCCUCACUAUGCCCAGAAACAACAAAGCCAGACAACUAUGGACUGAAACCUUGAGCUAAUAUAAAUCUUUCCUCCUUGUAAGUUGAUUUUUCUCAGGUAUUUGUCACAGUGAUGAAAAGUCUGACUAUUACAACAACUUAGCUAAUUGUGAAACCUGGGUGAUAAUGAUAAGUAAUCUUUUCUGGCUCUAUUUUUACUUCUGUGCAGUUAUUUCAGAGACUUGGCCAGGUGAUAUGAAGUGCCUUAUUAUACUUUAUAUAUAACAGUGUCCUAUGAUACUUUUCUGUGGGUAGAAAUUCUUAAACGUUCAUUAUUGAUUGUCUGUUAGGUUGCUUGUUUUACUUGCUGUCCUGUGAGGUUUUUAAAAAGGGUUGGGUUUCCUCCCCUGUCACACCACUGUAUCUCUUCAAAGCAGCGACUCUUUGUGGAUCAUGUCAGUAAUGUUCAGUGCUGAGACAGCGAGGAAUGCGAUAUCUGUGCGAUGAAUGACUGAUGAUAUUGUGUCAGCUAAAGGCUGCUAAUACCAGUCUCUCUCUGAAACCAGCCCCUGUGCGUCCUUGGCUUGUAAAGGCAAUGAAAUACGGUCCUAUCUAUGCCUUAGGCCAUUUCUCUCACUGCUGUCCUUCAAAGACUGCAGACUCAUUCAGCUAGCCAGCCUUGGCCUACUCUGGCUCCUAUUUUUUCUGGGAAUUAACCUUUCCUUUUCCCCCUGCCUCCUACAUAUGCCAUUAUGUGUUUGUCAAUGUUAGACUAAAAGAGGUGCAGAAUGGAUAGGUGGGGAGACAAAUAAUUCAGUGGUAGCACUGGGUCUAUUGUGGAGAAGUGGUCCUGCGAAGGGGAUCCCCAGCAAGAGAGCUGGAGCCCCUAGCUGCUUACAGACUGGGGAUAGAUAAAAGGUUGGUAGAGAAGUCCCAGGAAGGUUAUUAGGCAGGAAAAUCCUCAAUGCUCUAGAUUCCAAGGAAGGGCGAGUAAUUUCUUCUAGGCCAGGUGGGUAGUUUCUAGUAAAUGGCUAAAGGCGGAUGUCUAUUUUUCUUCAGGCCUGGGUAGAGAGUUUCCAGUAAGUCACCUUCAAGGGGGAGAGGGUCCACUUCUAACAUGGCUUCCUUUUGUUCGCCUUAACAGUUAAUUGUAUGUCUCUUGUCAUAGAGAAUUGAAACACUGCUUACAAUUAUGGUUAUUUUUAUUCAUGCUUUUAUUUCUUUUGCUAGGUAGUAAAGAAAAAGGAGUUUUAAAUCCAGGAAGAAUUUAAGAUGUUUUGAGAAAGCUUACAAAAAGUUUCAGAAGACAGCUAGCUGCUGGCAUACUUGAGGUGUAAUUCUGGCCCAGCUUCUUUCUCACUGGGUGUGGUUUUAGAUGGUCACACCCUGUCACUUUAUCCCCUAAUUUACAAAGUAGGGAUAAUGAAACUACCACCUAGAGCUGUUGGCAGAUUAAUGGGACGAGGCAUGCAGAGCAUGUGGCCUAGACUUGGGGCACAGUAAGUGCACUGGAGCUCUCAGAACAGUUGUCAUUUGUGGAGUCCUUGCUUCCUAGCAUGUUGAGUGGUAGAAGGGAAUGGAUUGGGUGUCUCUUCCUCCCCGCAUAUCCUGAGGGUGGGGUGGUGUGUAUUCUACUUUGAAUUUCAGGUCUGCUUGUAUAGGGAAGCGGAACCAAAUGCCUCUUUAUGACUAUGAAUUUGUUUUCUAUAAUGUCCUAUGAAAAUAAUUUUUUAAAAAACAUGGUGAUUGUAUAGGACAUGUAGUUGAUAGUGUCAUUUUGUAAAGUUUUAUAAAAAUUGGCAAUGAAUUGGAAACAGUAAAUAAUUAUAUGUUUAUAACAUUUUAUAGUAAAAGGUAACAGCUUAUUAAAUUAGUUUCCCCAGUUAAAGUCCUUUUGGGUUGUUUUUGCCCACAGAAUUCUGGACAUACAGAGUUGCUUUUUUUUUUUGGAAGUACUAGACAGCCUCGUCUGGUCCUUCUGAGCAUGACUUCUGUGUAGCUAGGAUGACAGAUGUGGGCCACCGUGCUUAGCUUGGUGGUUGAGAUAUGUGAGAUGGGAGUCUCACUAACUUUAUGCCCAUACUGGCCUUGAACCAUGAUUCUCCUACCUCUACCUCCUGAUACAGAUGUGAACCACCUUGCUUGGCUCUGAAUGACUUAUUUUUGAUUCUUCCCUUUUUAGAACAAAUGGUGGGACCUAGAAGUUUUAGUAAGUUGUUUAUAUGGAGUAUAUAUACUAUGUAGCCUAUGAAACUAGAGGUGAAGUAUGACCAUGAGGUUGUUUUUUUCUCAUUAAUUUUUAAUGCACUUGACAUUGUUCCUGGGUGGCUCACCCUUCGAAUUUCUCAGUCAGAACACAGAUGUCUCCUAACAGAAGCUUGCUCUGUGAGAAUGUGAUAGACCAAUAUGAAUGUUUUAACAGAGUGCCCUAUUGCUCAUCGUGGUCAGUCACAAGGAUUGUAUUUCUCAUCUAUCUUUUGUGACAAAUGAGUACAUAUUAAUUUUUUUAUUGCAGUAAAAUAAUGUCUGCAUUAUGUGUCAUGUAAUGACAAAUGGCACUUUGAACCAAGAAAUGGUGCUGAGAUGUUUUGUAAUUGCAGGCAGUACUAUAUCCUAAUUGAGCCAGUUGGAAGUAUUUGUUUCUUGUUCUGUCAGGUAUGCAUUCUAGAUUAUUUAAUACAGCAUACUAGAGGACCUAAGACACAGAUCUCUGAAAAAAACAGGUAAAUAUGCCAGAGAUAGAGCUGGACAAAAGUGAAGUCACAGCCCAUGGGGGAGGGAUUUUGGAUUGCUAAAACAAGAAUGUAGAGUAGACAAAAGCAUGUUGUCCACACUUGCUACUCAGAGGUACUGAGUAGUUUCUGUGCUUGUCAUUUGACUGAAAAAAAAAAAAAGGAGCUUAAGAAUAAGAGUUCAAACUGUUAAGAAGGGAGUGGAAAUGCUCAAGAGGAAGAGUGUGUAUAGGUCAGUGCCCCUGUCCUACGAAAUGGGGACACUUCUUAGAAGUAUAAAUUCUAAAAUAAAAAGAUUAAAUUGUAUUAAUUAGUUUUCUAUUGCUCACAUAACAAAUUACCACAAGUUAGUGGUUAUUAAACACACAUUUAGUACUUUAUAGGAUUUUAGGUUGGGAGUUGGAACUUGAUCUCAGUGACCAAAAAUAGAGCUGUCGAUAGGCUGUGCUUGGCUGGCUACUUGGGAGGUGGAGAUAAGGAGGACAGAGGUUUGAGGCCAAUCUAGGCAAAAAGACACCCCCCCAUCUCAACUAGUAACCUGGACAUGUGCCGAUAAUCCCAGCUACUGGGAGGCAUAGGUAGGAGGAUCAAAGUCUGAAAUUGCUCCCAGACAACAAACUUGACCUCACACAAAAAAUGAAGCAAAAAGGGCUGGGGUAUGGUGUAAGUGGUAGAGCACCUGCAGAACAAGUUCAAGGCCCCGAGUCUAAACCCCAGUACUGCCAAGAAAGAAAAAAACAGGCUGUGCUCCUUUUCGUGCAUCUGGGAGAGAAUCUGUUUCCCUGCUUCUAGAAGUUGCUCAUAUUCCUUGGGUUCAGCCCCUUCCUCCAUCUUUUAAAGCCAGCUAUAGUCAGGUGAUUAGGGACCCACCUGGAAAAUCAGGAUAAUCUCUUUUGGCCAGCUGACCAGUAAUUUUAAUUUCAUCUGCAGUCUUUAAUGCCCCUCUCCCAUAUAAAGUAACAUUCAUAGGUUCUUGGGGAUUAGGAUGCAGAUAUCUUAGGGGUGUCAUUAUUCUGCCUGUCACAUAAGCCAUAUGGUUUAUACUUUAUUUCAGUUCAAAUUUAUAUAGAGAAACUUUGUUUUUGACUGAAUUACUGUAAAAUUACCCCCCCCCCAAAAAAAGAAGAUAUUCCUGGACGUGAAAGGCACAGUCUUAAUUCUGCAGUUGUACUUCUCCAGUGGCUAUUUUUCAGUGUUUCAGUAGUAAGGAAUCUUGUUUGAAUUUUGUAGGGGAUUGAAGUUUAGGGAAGUUAUUCUCUCUAAAAAUCAUCGAGACUUGCUUUUAGUAUAGUUAGGUUUUAGGUUUUUCCACUUCACAAAUGUAGUAAAUAUCGCAAACCUAACUUACAGAAAGUUUCCCCUUUAGACUUUAGGAGCCACGUGUUUAUUAGAGGAAGAGGUUCUCAGGAUCAGGAAGAGAGAAAGGUGAAGGCAUGAAGACUAGGACAGGUGCUUUGAGUGGAACCUAGUCAUGGUUUUCCAGUGUUCCAGCUUCUCUGUGAUAAGAAAAUGUUCCUUGUCUUUUUGGCUGGUUUGGGAUAAGGCUGCAUCUUGUACACCAUAGGAUGCCAAUAGCGCCCCCUCCAGUUACGACAACUAAAUGUCUCCAGACCUUGUCAAAUGUCCCAUGGGCAAAAAUCAAUUGGAAACCACUGCCCUAAGUGAUGCAACGGUAAGAGCAGCAGAGCUCCAACCAAGGUUUGACCACUGCAAAGUCUCUGCCAGCCUGCCUCCCAAGAGAAGACACUAAGCCACCUUGCAUGCUUCUUCUGUAGGCCAAGGGCCAAGCAGUCCUGGUAGGGCCCUCAGUACUCCGUCUCAGUUUGUCAGCAUUGCAGAAAGGAUUGGGAGAUUCUGGCAAAUGAUAAAGUGAGGUAAAGUGUAUCAGGUGCCAGCAUGUGGUGUUAAGUAUUAGGGUGUGUUUGAUAAAUGGGAAAAUUGUGUCUCUCCAGGAUUGAAAUGUUUAGUUAUUUUGACUGGUAGUGACAGUGGUCUUUUGCGAGCCACUUGAUAAAGAAAAGGUCAGUGUUACACUGUCACUUCCAUUGAGCAUGAAGACACAAUUUAAUAUAAAUUUGUAUGAGUUGUAAACAUGAAACCUGUGUUAGUGUUUCCCAUGAUUUAAAUAUCUUUCUCCUUUCCCAGUAAUCUGAUUAAAGUGCAAAGUAGAGGGAUAGAAAUUGGUUAUGCUUUUGGACCUGUAGCUGAUUCCACUAGAUUUACCUAAAAGUUUGUGUCCUGUUCCUGUAGAAAAAGAAUUCUGAUGGGCCAGGCAUGGUGGUGUUUGCCUGUAAUCCCAGCUAUUUGAGAGGUAGAGCUAAGAGGAUCACAGUUUGAGGCCCACCUGGGCAAAAAGUUAGCAAGACCCUAUCUCAAAACCACGUUGGGUGUGGUGGGUCAUUACUGUAAUCUCAGCUGCCUAGGAGGUAGAGAUAGAAUUGUGGUCCAAGGCACAGGCAGAAACUUGAGACCCUAUCGGAAGCUAAAACAAAACUAAGCAAAAA